rnacentral:rRNA from 1 species
GUCAGCAGCUGUAUCACUCUGCAACUCACAACUGGCAACUGGCAACCCACUGAAGCAAAGCAGGUGUGAGUCUGGUUAGUACCUGGAUGGUAGACCUCAUGGGAAAGCCAAGGUUACUGCUGGAA